AAAAUAUUUCAUGAGCACACCCUUGAUAAGGGCCAAGAACUAAAAAAUCUAGCAUAACUAUUAUAUAUAAUGUAGUUCUUUUCAUGUGAAGUUUCGAAUUCCACUAAUCUGAAGAAAUAGGAAGUCCUACAGGCCAUUUUCCAAACCCACAUAACAACUAAGAACUGACAAAGCAGCACGGGUGUACCUCUAAGGGGCAAAAAUGUAAAAAACAGUAGCCAGACAGGAGAGUCAUUGUCUAAAUGGAUGAUUCUAACUAAGAAUGUUCACGAAUAAAAACAACAAAACUGGAAAACACGGAAUCAACAAGCACGGUUUUGAAGUCCAGAAUUUGAAUCCGACGUUCAAAAAGGCUGCCCAUAGCAUCAAGUAAAGCCCCACUGCCACAGUUUUUG
rnacentral:misc_RNA from 1 species